rnacentral:lncRNA from 1 species
GACACGUGGUGCCUUCAGGCUCUGGGGCCUAGGACCUUUGUGGUAGCAGAGUCACUGCAGAGAACCAGACAAUACCAGGUUGCUUAUAAAAGGAUGCCAUGUGCUUGCUGGAGGUCCCAGGUGCAACCAAAUUGCUUGCAGCUAGGAGGACCUUGAAGAGAAAUGGGAUCAGCCCGCCAAACCAAGAAGGGUUAGCACUUUUGCUAGGAGAGCUGACCACGCACAAACAGAUGAGAACCAAAACCGAGUGAAGAGGAUUGAAGAUGAACCCACAUUUUAAAAGUUCUUGUCUGCUGGAGGUGGCAUUACCUGUGACCUCGCUUCACUUCUCCAUACAUGGCUGUUAUAGCAGAGAAAAUCCAGCUUUCUGAAGCAUAUUUCACGACAUAUGAUGAGACUUAUGUGAUGUGAGACCUGAGAAAACUAUGAUAGAAAGAAGCAACUCAAGUUGCAAGGAUAUUCCUCAUGUAUCAUGCAAGGAUAUUCCUCAUAUAUCAUGCUUUUUCUAUCUUCUGCUCUUUGCCACCUGUGAGGUCCCUGAAAAUGAAGGCCAAUACUACCCAGAUUUGAAUAUUCUAAGAGAUUUCUCAAAAAGCUGAUAUUCAUAAUUUGAGAAGCAAUCAAGAACAAACGUGUACUGAAACAGUUGGUGCAAAAUCCUUAUUGACCACAGAUGGAAUUCAGUAAUUUAUAUUUCUUCGAAACAUAGAAAAACGGAAUACUGAGAUCUGGUGGGGGGCCGGCGGCAGUCUGGGAGCGGCGCGCCAUGUACACCAUCAUCAACGGGCCCAGCAAGUUGGUCGCGCAGCGCCGCACAGGUCUCACGCAGCAGCAGGUGAAGGGCCAGCUCCAGGAGCUCCUGAAAAGCCGGCAGCCCGCGCCGCCGACCUUGCAGCCCCAGCGGGCGCAGCCCUUCGCGCAGCCGCUGGGACCCUGGCCCCUGUCGAGUGCAGGGCCAAGGCUUGUGUUCAAUCGUGUGAAUCGCCGGCGGGACCCCUCCAAGUCCCCAUCCCUCCAGGGGACCCAGGAGACCUACACACUGGCCCACAAGGAGAAUGUCCGCUUUGUGUCCGAAGCCUGGCAGCAGGUGCGGCAGCAGCUGGAUGGUGGCCCAGCCGGUGAGGGCGGGACAAGGCCUGUGCAGUGGAGAGGAUCCCCAAUCCCCGGCUGCAGAACUUCGUGCCCAUUGACUUGGACGAGUGGUGGGCGCAGCACUUCCUGGCUAGAAUCACCAGCUGUUCCUAGCGGCUGCUGGGAGGGAGCGCUGCUAUGGUCUACCUAUCGCCAGGAGAGGAGCAUGGCGUCCUGCCCAUCCACUGUUGCGCCUGGCUGGGUGCCGGCCACACCUGAAGUGCCAGCAUUUGGACUUUUGCACCUGUUGUUCCCUUGGCCCAGCUGUCCCAAGCUGCUAUGGCCAGGGGCUGAACCCGUCUGACCUCAGUCCUGCUCACUGUGCCCAGGGACCAGAGACCAGCCCCUGGGGAUGUCGGAGAGGAGCUCCAGGCUAAUAAAGUCGAGAAACUGCCAAAAAAAAAAAAAGAAAAGAAAAGAAAAGAAAGAAAGAAAGAGAAAGGGAAUGCUGAUAAUAGAUCCGCAUUUUGAAAUUACUUGUUUCUUGGUGGUGGCAUUAACUGUGACCUACCUGCUUUUCUUUAAACAGGGCUACUGUAUCUGAAAAUAUUGUAAAUAAGCAGAUCUAAUUUCGAGAAAUGCCAAAAACAGGAAGGCACUCUUAAAAACAACCUGGCAUCCCACAAAAUAUUUAAGAAUAAUCUUUAAGAAUAUUUAACAAGUUUGCAAAUGUUUAAGCUACAAUAAAUGUAGAGAACAUAUUUGAACACUGGACAUACAAAUAUAUGGGAACUUUAAAUAGAGAAGUUCUUAUAUGACCAAUAGAAGACGUGAAUGUGUGAUAAAACCAUUUUAAAAGUCAUUUCCUAUUGGGAUUGAGAGACCACUUAUUUAUGAUAUUUAUACACCUAUCUGUGUACACAUGUUUACUAACCAUAGUAGUGAUUAGUCAUGGUAGUGAUUAGUCAUGGUAAUCAUUUCAGUUACCAUGAUCUGUGCCUAUAUCCGUAUGUAUGUGUGUAUGUACUUAUUUAUACAAAACAAGAUGUUAAGGAGAAUUUGUACAUGCAUUUAAUGCAAGCAAAUACUUUCCCUUCAAAACUUUGUCAGAAUACACAUCUGGUCUGAUCCAAACCACAAUGUACAGAUUAAUCCAAUUUUAAUAUAGAUUUAUUUUUUGUGUGAACAAAAUAUAGUAGGCGUAUGUAUCUAUACAUUGAAAAGUAUGGAAGAAAAUAACCCAAAAUGUUAUCAGUUGUCUUAACAGAUUUUAUGAUGGUGUUAUUCUUCUUGAUGUACACAAGAUUAUUUUUGAACUAUAUGGCAAACAUCAUUCUUUUUUAAUUUUUUUUUUUUAGAGACUAAGGUGUCAGUAUGUUCUUCAAGCUGCUCUGCUCCUGGGCCCAAGCUAUUCUCCUGCCUCAGCCUUCCAAGAAGCUGAAACUACAAGAACACAAGACUGUACCUGGCUUGCAAACACCAUUGCUAAUAAGAAGAUAUUGUAAGACUGAUACCUAAGAGAUAAGAGGUAACACACACACACACACAUGCAGG